UCCAUAGGAAAUGCAGUCCUCUUUGCUAAGUGUCCAUAGGAAAUGCAGUCCUCUUUGCUAAGUGUCCAUAGGAAAUGCAGUUCUCUUUGCUAAGUGUCCAUAGGAAAUGAGGUCCUCUUUGCUAAGUGUCCAUAGGAAAUGAGGUCCUCUUUGCUAAGUGUCCAUAGGAAAUGCAGUCCUCUUUGCUAAGUGUCCAUAGGAAAUGCAGGCCUCUUUGCUAAGUGUCCAUAGGAAAUGCAGUCCUCUUUGCUAAGUGUCCAUAGGAAAUGAGGUCCUCUUUGCUAAGUGUCCAUAGGAAAUGAGGUCCUCUUUGCUAAGUGUCCAUAGGAAAUGCAGGCCUCUUUGCUAAGUGUCCAUAGGAAAUGCAGUCCUCUUUGCUAAGUGUCCAUAGGAAAUGCAGUCCUCUUUGCUAAGUGUCCAUAGGAAAUGCAGGCCUCUUUGCUAAGUGUCCAUAGGAAAUGCAGGCCUCUUUGCUAAGUGUCCAUAGGAAAUGCAGUCCUCUUUGCUAAGUGUCCAUAGGAAAUGAGGUCCUCUUUGCUAAGUGUCCAUAGGAAAUGCAGUCCUCUUUGCUAAGUGUCCAUAGGAAAUGCAGUCCUCUUUGCUAAGUGUCCAUAGGGGUGCUUUAAUGAUGCAUUUUUUGUGCAAACAUUUGAUUGACAAUUGCUCGUAUGAACUUGAAGCCAUUCUAUCUGGAUUUCAAGUCAUUGAAUAUGCAUUACUCAGUAUAUCUUGAUUACACCUGCAACAGAUGCCACCAUGUUUGGAAAGGUGUACAUGUUUGGGGCAAAAAGCAUUAUUUUGAUAUGUAAUCCAGUACCUGCAGUCUACAUGUAUCUGUAGCUUUGGAUGCCAGGCUUCGCCAACGAGACCAGAUGUGGAAGGAUGGCUCCGCGAGACGACUGCAACGGUCUUACAAGUAACCCGUCUACUAAAACGAAACUCACUGUGGAUUUGAUCCUCUGAGUUGACUGUUACCCACUGAGGUAACUGACUGCCUGCCUUCAGGAUGUUACCUACUGAGGUGACUGACUGACUGCCUGUUACCCACUGAGGUGACUGACUGCCUGCCUUCAGGAUGUUACCUACUGAGGUGACUGACUGCCUGUUACCCACUGAGGUGACUGACUGACUGCCUGUUACCCACUGAGGUGACUGACUGCCUGCCUUCAGGAUGUUACCUACUGAGGUGACUGACUGCCUGUUACCCACUGAGGUGACUGACUGCCUGCCUUCAGGAUGUUACCCACUGAGGUGACUGACUGCCUGUUACCCACUGAGGUGACUGACUGCCUGCCUUCAGGAUGUUACCCACUGAGGUGACUGACUGCCUGUUACCCACUGAGGUGACUGACUGCCUGCCUUCAGGAUGUUACCCACUGAGGUGACUGACUGCCUGUUACCCACUGAGGUGACUGACUGCCUGUUACCCACUGAGGUGACUGACUGCCUGUUACCCACUGAGGUGACUGACUGCCUGUUACCCACUGAGGUGACUGACUGCCUGUUACCCACUGAGGUGACUGACUGCCUGCCUUCAGGAUGUUACCCACUGAGGUGACUGACUGCCUGUUACCCACUGAGGUGACUGACUGCCUGCCUUCAGGAUGUUACCCACUGAGGUGACUGACUGCCUGUUACCCACUGAGGUGACUGACUGCCUGCCUUCAGGAUGUUACCCACUGAGGUAACUGACUGCCUGCCUUCAGGAUGUUACCCACUGAGGUGACUGACUGCCUGCCUUCAGGAUGUUACCCACUGAGGUGACUGACUGCCUGCCUGUUACCCACUGAGGUGACUGACUGCCUGCCUUCAGGAUGUUACCCACUGAGGUGACUGCCUGCCUGUUACCCACUGAGGUGACUGACUGCCUGCCUUCAGGAUGUUACCCACUGAGGUGACUGACUGCCUGCCUGUUACCCACUGAGGUGACUGACUGCCUGCCUUCAGGAUGUUACCCACUGAGGUGACUGACUGCCUGUUACCCACUGAGGUGACUGACUGCCUGUUACCCACUGAGGUGACUGACUGCCUGUUACCCACUGAGGUGACUGACUGCCUGUUACCCACUGAGGUGACUGACUGCCUGCCUUCAGGAUGUUACCCACUGAGGUGACUGACUGCCUGUUACCCACUGAGGUGACUGACUGCCUGUUACCCACUGAGGUGACUGACUGCCUGCCUUCAGGAUGUUACCUACUGAGGUGACUGACUGCCUGUUACCCACUGAGGUGACUGACUGCCUGUUACCCACUGAGGUGACUGACUGCCUGCCUUCAGGAUGUUACCCACUGAGGUGACUGACUGCCUGUUACCCACUGAGGUGACUGACUGCCUGUUACCCACUGAGGUGACUGACUGCCUGCCUUCAGGAUGUUACCUACUGAGGUGACUGACUGCCUGUUACCCACUGAGGUGACUGACUGCCUGUUACCCACUGAGGUGACUGACUGCCUGCCUUCAGGAUGUUAAUACCCCAACAAGAUGCCUUAUGACCUUGUCAUUGCAACAAGAAAAUGUUUGUAUAUCUGUAUGCACUCUGUAUUCUGUAUGCACUCUGUAUGCACUCUGUAUUCUGUAUGCACUCUGUAUGCACUCACAAGUCUUCCUCUGUCCCAGUACUAUUAUGUAGCAUUUGUAUACUAGGGUAUGUAUUCCUUUUGUAUGAAUAAAUAUUUGUAAUAUUUAA